AACGAACGCUGGCGGCAUGCCUAACACAUGCAAGUCGAACGAGACCUUCGGGUCUAGUGGCGCACGGGUGCGUAACGCGUGGGAAUCUACCCUUGGGUUCGGAAUAACAGUUAGAAAUGACUGCUAAUACCGGAUAAUGGCGUAAGUCCAAAGAUUUAUCGCCCAAGGAUGAGCCCGCGUAAGAUUAGCUUGUUGGUGGGGUAAUGGCCUACCAAGGCGACGAUCUUUAGCUGGUCUGAGAGGAUGAUCAGCCACACUGGGACUGAGACACGGCCCAGACUCCUACGGGAGGCGGCAGUGGGGAAUAUUGGACAAUGGGCGAAAGCCUGAUCCAGCAAUGCCGCGUGAGUGAUGAAGGCCUUAGGGUUGUAAAGCUCUUUUACCAGGGAUGAUAAUGACAGUACCUGGAGAAUAAGCUCCGGCUAACUCCGUGCCAGCCGCCGCAGUAA
rnacentral:rRNA from 1 species